GACGCAUGUUGAACUUCAAGCACUGAGAAGAGGCGAAAUUCUGUCUUUAGGACAUUGCGAAUACGCAAGCCUCUAUCUUCAAUAAAAGUCAGUAUUCUGUACUUAAUUUAUAUUUGCACAUUUAUACAGAUUUCGUACUUUUGCUACUGUUUAUAUUUUAAGAGUUGUGCAAUAAUAUAGUGAUCCUAUAGUAUAAAACAUUUACUGAUUAUUUUCUAACAAUCUAAAGACAGAAUCUUAUCCUUAAUGGAAGAAUCUGUAAGUAGCGUGAAGAUGACUGAUAUAGUCAAUGUCAGCGGCGUCAAAACUCAUGUUAAGGAACCAGAGAAGUUCAAAAGGGUGGAUUUCAAACGCUGGCAACAGAAAAUGCUGUUUUACUUGACAACACUGAAUUUGGCUCAUGUAGUCAAAGAGGAAGUUCCUGUGGCAACAGAGAAUCCGAUACCUGCAGCCAAAUUAAAUGCUAUUGAUGCUUGGAAACAUUUUGAGUUUCUCUGCAGGAAUUAUAUUCUCAGUUCAUUGGAUGAUACCUUGUAUGAUGUUUAUUCUUCAUACAAGACUGCCAAGGAAUUGUGGGAGUCUCUCGAAAAAAAGUACAGAACAGAGGUUGCUGGUACAAAGAAAUUUGUCAUUGGGAAAUUUCUGAAUUACAAAAUGAUAGACUCCAAGUCAGUGGUUAAUCAAGUGGAAGAACUCCAGAUCAUUAUGCAUGAACUGCAUAAUGAAAACAUGAUCAUGAACGAGAACUUUCAAGUGGGUUCGAUCAUAGAGAAGUUGCCUCCUUCCUGAAAUGAUUUCAAGAUCUAUCUGAAACACAAGAAAUCUGACAUGACCCUGGAUGAUUUGGUUCUGAAACUAAGAGUUGAACAGGAUCACAGAAUUAUUGCGAAAGUGGAUGGUGCUUCCUCUAAAGCCAAAGUCAACAUUGUUGAAGGCAAAGUCUCUGCUGGAAAGCCAAAAUACAAUUCCCAGAAAAAUAAAGGCAAGUCCUAUUUUAAAAUAGCACCAAACAGCAAGAAUUUUAAGAAAAUAAAAGGGAGUUGCUGGGUGUGUGGAAAAGUUGGACACAAGGCACAAGAUUGUCGCCACAAGAAAGAUGGAGUUUCUGCCAAGUCUGCCAAUAAUCAAGCAAAUGUAACUGAAGAUGUUUUGGCUGCUGUAGUGUCUGAAACGAAUAUGGUUUUAGAUACAAAAGAUUGGUGGAUUGAUACUGGUGCAACCAAGCACAUAUGUGGCGACAAGAGCAUGUUCUCUACAUACCAAGAAAUUUCUGGUGGAGAACAACUCUACAUGGGAAAUUCCUCAACUGCUGCCAUUGCUGGAAAAGGAAAGGUGCUGCUGAAAUUUACCUCUGGGAAGGAACUAGCCCUUCUAGAUGUACUUCAUGUCCCUGAUAUUAGGAAGAACUUAGUGUCUGGUCCAUUGCUCAGCAAUAAGGGCUUUAAACUAGUGUUCGAAUCAGACAAGUUUGUUCUCACUAAAGGGGGAAUGUUUGUGGGAAAGGGUUAUUUGGCUGAGGGUUUGUUCAAACUUAAUGUAUUGGCUACAAAUGCUAUUAAUAAAAUAAAUAAGGCUUCCGUUUACAUUGUUGAGUCUUGUGAUAUUUGGCAUGCUAGAUUAGGACAUGUUAAUUUCCGUUGUUUAGAUAGAAUGAUCAAUUUAAGGUUGCUGCCAAACUUUAAAAUUGAUCACAACAAUAAAUGUGAAAUAUGCACAGAAUCAAAAUUUGCAAGGCAAAGUUUCAAAUCUGUUUUUGGAAGAUCUAAUGAGUUGUUAGGUUUGAUUCAUUCAGAUCUUUGUGAUUUUAAAUCAACACCAACUCGUGGAGGAAAGAAUUAUUAUAUUACUUUCAUUGAUGAUUGCAGUAAAUUUUGCUAUGUCUAUCUGAUAAAUAGCAAGGAUGAGGCUUUGAAUAUGUUCAAGACAUAUAAAGCUGAAGUUGAAAAUCAAUUAGAGAGAAAAAUUAAAGCUCUAAGAUCUGAUAGAGGAGAAGAGUAUGAGUCUAUAGCCUUCUCUGAAUUUUGUGCUCAACAUGGAAUAGUUCAUCAAACAACAGCUCCAUAUACACCUCAACAAAAUGGUGUUGCUGAAAGAAAAAAUCGAACUUUCAAGGACAUGAUCAACUCCAUGUUGAAUAGUUCAGGGCUUCCACACAAUUUGUGGGGUGAAGCCUUAUUUACUGCAAAUACAAUCUUGAACAAAAUUCCACAUAAGAAGACUAAUAAACCUCCUUAUGAAGUGUGGAAAGGUAGAAUUCCUACAUAUAAAACCCUUAAAGUGUGGGGUUGCCUUGCAAAAGUUCAAGUACCCUUGCCAAAACGAGUUAAACUUAGACCAAAAACAGUAGAUUGUGCAUUCAUUGGUUUUGCAAACAAUAGUACAGCCUAUAGAUUCUUAGUGGUUAAAUCAGAAAUUUCUGAUAUUCAUGUUAAUACUAUCAUAGAAUCUGUAGAUGCAGAAUUUUUUGAACAUAUUUAUCCCUACAAAGAAAAUAGGUCCUGUCCAACUAGAAAAAGAUCACUUGAACCAACUCAAAGUGACAUUCCUUCUUCAUCAAGGGUUCAUGAAAAUGAAAUGGAACCAAGAAGAGGAAGUAGAACGAAAAUCCCAAGAAAUUUUGGACCUGAUUUUCUAACCUUCUUGUCAGAAGCUGAACCACAAACAUACAAGGAAGCGAUGACUUCCAGUGAGGCUACCUUUUGGAAGGAAGCAAUUAAAAGUGAGAUGGAUUCCAUUUUACAAAAUUAUACCUAGCAAUUGGUUGAUUUACCACCUGGUAAUAAACCAAUUGGUCAUAAAUGGAUAUUCAAAAAGAAAUUGAAGGCUGAUGGUUCUAUAGACAAAUAUAAGGCACGUCUAGUAGCAAAAGGCUAUAGACAAAAAGAAGGGCUGGAUUACUUUGAUACAUAUUCACCUGUAUCAAGAAUCUCAUCUAUAAAAAUAUUAAUUUCCAUAGCAGCCAUACAGAAAUUGGAGAUACAUCAAAUGGAUGUUAAAACCGCCUUUUUGAAUGGAGAAUUAGAUGAAGAAGUCUAUAUGGAACAACCAGAAGGGUUUGUGGUUAAAGGACAAGAAAAGAAAGUGUGCAAAUUAAUUAAGUCAUUGUAUGGACUUAAACAAGCACCAAAAAUGUGGCAUGAAAAAUUUGAUCAUGUUAUGCUGUCAAAUGGUUUUAAGAUCAAUGAGAGUGACAAAUGCGUAUAUGUAAAGAGUUUCAAGAACUCAUGUGUCAUAGUAUGUUUAUACGUUGAUGACAUGCUCAUAAUGGGUACUAACAAAGAUAUCAUUAAUUCUACAAAGAAAAUGUUGUGUUCAAGUUUUGAUAUGAAGGACCCGGGACUUGUAGAUAUCAUACUUGGAAUUAGAGUUCAAAGAACCAAACAAGGUUAUUUUUUGACUCAAUCCCAUUAUGCAGAAAAAAUACUUAGGAAAUUUGGUCACUUUGAUGAUCCAUCCGUUGUGACCCCUUUUGAUCCAUCAAUUCAUCUAGCUAAAAAUAAUGGAGAUGCAGUAUCUCAGCUAGAAUAUUCACAAGUGAUUGGAAGCUUAAUGUAUAUGAUGAAUAGUACAAGGCUUGAUUUAGCUUAUGCAGUGAGCUGGCUUAGUCGAUAUACUAGUAAUCCAUCUUAUGAUCAUUGGAAGGCUUUGAUUAGAGUGCUACAAUUUAUUAAAGGCACAAUAAGUUAUGGUUUGCAUUACACAAGUUACCCACCAGUUUUAGAAGGAUAUAGUGAUGCAAACUGGAUUUCUGGUGAAAGUGAAACGAAAUCCACUAGUGGCUAUGUUUUUGUAUGUGGAGGGGCAACAGUAGCUUGGAAGUCAACCAAGAAAACGUGUAUAGCACGGUCAACUAUGGAAUCAAAAUUCAUAGCUUUGGACAAGGCUGCUGAAGAAGCAGAAUGGCUUCGAAACUUUAUGGAAGAUAUACCGUUAUUGCCUGAACCGAUAACUGCAGUAUGUAUUCAUUGUGAUAAUAUGGCAGCUAUUGCAAGAGCCAAAAAUAAGAUAUACAAUGGCACAUCAAGGCAUAUAAGGCGAAGACAUAGCACAAUUAGACAGUUGCUCAAAGAUGGAAUAAUCUCAUUAGAUUAUGUAAAGUCAAAGGAAAACAUAGCUGAUCCUUUGACAAAAGGCCUACCUAGAGAGCAAAUUAAAUAUGCGUCGAGGGGAAUGGGUUUAAUGUCAAUUUCAUAAUGAGCUAACCGAAUGGAACCCUAACCUAGCUGAUUGGAGAUCCCAUGGUCUAGGUUCAAUAGGCAAACUGGUUGGGAAUGGCUCAAGGUAUGAACACACUAUUUACUCAUUCCUAUGAUCAAUGUGUGUUGUCUGCAGAAUUUUUUAGGGUAUGUUUUAUACAAAACAUUUAAUGACGUUAAUAUUUUGAUAUUCAAAAGAAGUAUGGCAGAAUACUUUUAAUUAACGUUACCUAUAUAGGAGUAAAUGUGGGGUCGCAUUUAUGAGAAUUACAUGACUACAUUCUCUAAAGCUCCUAUAAGACCGGGAUUUGUUCAAGACCAAAAUGAACACAACCGCAUGAACUUAAGUGUGUAAAGUUUUAAUACAUGUGUGGCGUAUUGUUUCGGUUUACUACAAAACGAUGAACAGUUCAAGGCUAUGAUUUCCACUGAUUCAUUAAGUAGAUCCGAUACGUCUACACUAGGGAAAGUUCAAGUCCAAAAGACACUUUUCCUGCUGUGUAUUUUAUCUAAUUUCUUCUCCAGUUUUUGAGUCUGCAUGUUUUAUUUUCAAAAACAAAUUUGCAUUUCAAAUGUGGGGUAUUGUUGGAAGUUUGAAAGCAAAUGUUCCACAUUGGAGAAAACAAAAGGUUCCAUAUGCUUUAUAAGCAUGAAACCUUGACAUCAACUAAAUAAAGAUUGGUGGGCUGAUGGGCUUGGUAGUGAAGACUAUCAUGGUUGGCUUGCUUGAUUAAUAUUAAUAUUUAAAUAAUCAAGACUUGGGCCUUGGGUCUCUGGAAAAUAAAAUAAUUAAUUUUUAAUUUUCGGAUUUCUUUUGGCAUAAGUUAAAUUCAAACCAGAAAGACUUAUCUUUUUGUUUGAAUUUGAACAGGUAUAACUGAUACCAAUUGCUAUUUUGAAGGGGUGUAAUUCUAUUAUAAAAUCACAAGUUCUAGGCCAUAAGACUAAUCUCUUUUCCUUAAACUAUCUCAUAUUAUUUUAAAGUUACCAACUGUAUUGGAGAGAAGCACACCAACGUUCGCCAGAAUUCAAGGAUCCAGUGCUGGACCCUUGAAUUAUAGAUAGUUGAAUCCUUGGAGAUAGACACAUGUUGAACUUCAAGCACUGAGAAGAGGCGAAAUUCUGUCUUUAGGAUAUUGCGAAUACGCAAGCCUCUAUCUUCAAUAAAAGUCAAUAUUCUGCACUUAAUUUAUAUUUGCACAUUUAUACAGAUUUCGUACUUUUGCUACUAUUUAUAUUUUAAGAGUUGUGCAAUAAUAUAGUGAUCCUAUAGUAUAAAACAUUUACUGAUUAUUUUCUAACACAGUGUUCACGGCCCCACUUAAUAUUUCCCCUUUCACUAACAAUGAUCAUAUAAAACAAGCAACCCCGAGCUUAAAUCUCUGGCCUUUCUCUAUUGUUGAGAUGGGAGGUUGUUUGUUGCCCUUGUCUGUACAAAAUCCCUGCCAUUUGAUAUAAAUAUAUAUUACAAGCGAUAUUGAGAAAGUGGUUUUUUUUUUAUACAAGUGAUUAUUAGUUUUUUGACACAUUAAGAUUCGAAUAUGAAACUACUGAUCCGUAAAAAAAUACACUUUUUUAUUGGAUUAGAACCCGUUGGCAUCUUGCAAUUUAAUUAGUUGAGUUUCACAUAUCAAAGUUUAUUUCUAAUCACAAAAUAUUUUCAGCAUGCUAAUGUAAUGGUUUCAAGGUUUUGGUAAACUGGGACCACACUUUUUUGAACUUUGUAUUUGGGCUGCAAAAAAGUCCCCCCAAGAAUACUCCUUUUUGUUAGACAACUGAGAGAUUGAGCCCAAAUAGAAACUUAUAGCAUAUGGUAUGUUGUAAUUGGACAAAACAUGUUACUCAUUGUGUCACGUGACAAGUUAAUCUCUAUUGAAGUAGUAAACUAGUAGUGCAUGCGUUAGAGGUAUUGUAAGAUCAUAUUAAAUAUUUCCAAGAUAGAUAAUUAUGCAGGAAAUCAUUGUCCUAAUUACCCCAUCAAAUCCGAAUUUUCAUUAUCACAUUAAAUCUUAAGUCUUCUAGCACGUGCAUCACGGAUGCCAAUUAGGGGUGGACAUGAGUUGAAUUGAGUCGGUUUUGGUCCCAAUUCAUAUAUAGCGGUUUAUGAUUUAUUGGACUCAAAAUCCGCUUAUUAUUAAGCCAACCCAACCCUUUUAUGAUCGAGUUAACUCAAAAUUAAGUUAUUUUUAAAUUUUGGUUCCAACUCAUGCAUAGCGGUUUAUGAUUUCUUGGACCUAAUACUAGCUUAUUAUCAGACCAAUUCAACCCAACCCAACCAUCUAAUGAUUGAGUUGAUCCAAAAUUGUUCCCACGCCUAAUGCCAAUUGGCUUUUUAUUUAUUGAGAAAUUAUAUUUUCAUAAAUUGUUUUAUUUCUUAACAUUUUGAUUAAUUAAUGGUAUUAUUGAGAUUAUAUAUAGAUGACAUAAUAUCCUUCAACUAGUUAUCAAAUCAAUUCACCCAUAGUUUUUUGGAAUAAAAUGCACUUUUAACCGGAUGAAAUAUGCAUGGUAUAUGUACAAUGUAAAAAGAAAAGGCAAUAAUUUCAUCAACAAAAAAAGAAGAAGAAAAGGCAAUAAACUGAAAUACAUCCUCGAACUCUCCAAGCAACUUCCAUGUAAAAGGAAGAAGAAAAAAUUACAUAGAAUCUCCAUAUCGUUACAAUUAAUGGUGUUAAUAAUACUUCUUGCGACCUAAAUCUAAAUGGCAUACUCGUUCGAUAUUUACAGCAACAUUUUUUUAAAAACUUUGGGUAAGAUGAUGCACUGAUUUCAUAUACCCGUCAACGUUUUGGUCAUGUAAAAGUUGAUGAUGAAAUUGGAUGCACUGAUUUCUGUUGUGCCUCAGCCUCAAAUUUAAACAAGCAUUCUUUUCUUCUAAUUCUUUGAUCCUUUUUAAAUUGCAAGCCAUGCUCUUACCAAGAGAAGCAAGACGACAAUGCAGCCGGUCUAUCACAAAGGCAAGCAAUAGAGACAACACAAUGAGAGUGGUUUCAGGACUCAAAUGGCCCAUCAUCCCACGCUUCUGAAUCAUCACGAGAAAGAUGAUAUUCCCCACGAGUUUCAGCAUAGCGGUCCCCUAGCAGCUGCGGUUGAUCUCAUCGAGGCUCGACAUCUUCGUCUUUUUUAAAGGCGCUUCGAGCAAAACUAAGAGUAUGAGAACCAUAUCAAUUAAAAUCGUGAGUAGUACUACCGGAACCAUAAUGGAAGUUGGAAGGUUUAGAGUGUAUGUGUUUAGGUAUAUUUAUAUGUUGAAGUUACGUACAUAUUUUUAUACAUAGGUUGUAUUUAUAGAAGAAACUCUAUCCUAGAGUUAUUAGGAGACCUAUUUUGGUAAGGAAUUCAAAUGGGCCGGGUCAAUACUAUCAAAAACUUAUGGUGGUUUGUGAAUUGGAUCAACCAACAGGCCGAAGCCCACUCUCUCACUUUUUAUCUCUGUCUUUCCCUCUCUCAACGUUGUUUGGCAGAUCGAUGGGAAUCUCUUCGGAGAUUUUGUCCCCCAAAAACAAAAAAAAGAAGAGAGAUCCCAUUGCCUCAUUGGAGAUCUUUGGAGGUUUCAGAAAAGAUUUAAAUAUGUUUUUCCUACUUGAGGGAAGUACAUGAAGGCCUACCGCAAACCUGUCUCUUGGUUUUCCACUCCACAUGUGUCCAUAAACACACAUGGUGCAAUUUGAUGUACCUUUGUUGUUUCUCAUGUGCAGCUUUUAUGCAAAAUAAUAUUUUUAUCAAAGAUAACGGUUGCAUAAGUUAG
rnacentral:lncRNA from 1 species